rnacentral:ncRNA from 2 species
AUCGUUCAUCUCUCCACAUCACAAAACUCUGAACGUGUUGGAGCCAAGUGAGGGGAGACGGAAGUAGGGACAACUCCCGAAGGAACGCGCC